GCAACUUCAAGCCUGGUACACAGGCCUUGUUUUCUGGUGCACAAGGGAGUGACCUUCACGCCUUCACCUGGAUGGAGACCAUGCAAUCUGGCUGACUUACAGUUGCCAUGGGAAACCUCAAGUUUUUGCCUUAAAAUUGUGGGAAUCCAGGGAAGACUGCCACAGCAGAGGCAGGAUGUGAACAGGCCUGGAUGAGUAGGAUACAGAUUGGAAAACUAAAGGGGAAAAAAACAUUCUAAAUAGGAUAAAGGGAUACGAAUAAAAGAACAACUCUGGAAUGGGUGUGUUACAUUAGGGAUGGUUCAGAGACAGAAUAGAGGAGUCUCUUGGAAGCAGAGUUUACACAGGGCAGAUAAUACUCAAAGGUUUGAUGAGGCCCAAACAUUGCCAAAUGCAACCAUUGUUAGGAAUCGAUUUUGCAAAGUCUUGACAUUUGACAUUGAGUCCAUGUGGAAGGAAUGUGCUACAGUAAUAGCAGCUUUAUUCAUGACUGCCAACACUUGCAAGCAACCAAGAUGUCCUUCAAUAUGUAAAUAGAUCAAACCAAUACAACCAUGUGAUGGCUGUACUUAUUCAGUGAUGAAAAGAGCUAUCAAGCCACCAAGAUACCUGGAGGAAACAAAUGCAUACUGCUAAGUGAAAGAAGUUCAUCUUAGAAGAACUAAGAAAGAAGCUACAUACUGUGUGACUUCAACUAUAUGACAUUUGGGAAAAAGCAAAACUAUGGAGACUGUAAAAAGACCAGUGGUUGUCAGCAAUUACAGGAAGAGUAGGAUGAAGAGGCAGAGGGUUUUUAGGGCAGUGGAACUAUUCUGUACAAUACUAUAAUGGCAGAUACGUGGCAUUAUACAUUUGUCAAACCCAUAGGAUGCACAACACAGAGAAUGAACCCUAAUGUAAACUAUGAACUUUAGUUAAUAAUAUGUCAAUAUUG
rnacentral:lncRNA from 1 species